rnacentral:rRNA from 1 species
CUCCUCUGAUUUAGCGGCGGACGGGUGAGUAACACGUGGGUAAUCUGCCUGUAAGACGGGGAUAACUCCGGGAAACCGGGGCUAAUACCGGAUAAUAAGAAGAAACGCAUGUUUCUUUUUUGAAAGUCGGUUUCGGCUGACACUUACAGAUGAGCCCGCGGCGCAUUAGCUAGUUGGUGAGGUAACGGCUCACCAAGGCGACGAUGCGUAGCCGACCUGAGAGGGUGAUCGGCCACACUGGGACUGAGACACGGCCCAGACUCCUACGGGAGGCAGCAGUAGGGAAUCUUCGGCAAUGGGCGAAAGCCUGACCGAGCAACGCCGCGUGAGCGAUGAAGGCCUUCGGGUCGUAAAGCUCUGUUGUUAGAGAAGAACAAGUACGAGAGUAACUGCUCGUACCUUGACGGUACCUAACCAGAAAGCCACGGCUAACUACGUGCCAGCAGCCGCGGUAAUACGUAGGUGGCAAGCGUUAUCCGGAAUUAUUGGGCGUAAAGCGCGCGCAGGCGGUCUCUUAAGUCUGAUGUGAAAGCCCACGGCUCAACCGUGGAGGGUCAUUGGAAACUGGGAGACUUGAGUGCAGGAGAGAAAAGUGGAAUU